rnacentral:rRNA from 1 species
UACGUAGGGUGCAAGCGUUGUCCGGAAUUACUGGGCGUAAAGCGUGCGCAGGCGGUUUGCUAAGACAGGUGUGAAAUCCCCGGGCUUAACCUGGGAACUGCGCUUGUUACUGGCAAGCUGGAGUGUGGCAGAGGGGGGUGGAAUUCCACGUGUAGCAGUGAAAUGCGUAGAGAUGUGGAGGAACACCGAUGGCGAAGGCAGCCCCCUGGGCUAACACUGACGCUCAUGCACGAAAGCGUGGGGAGCAAACAGG